GACAGAACCGUCCAAACGUUAUUCGGAAUCACUGAGCCUUAAAGGGCGCGUAUGCGGACGAGCGGGUCACGAGUGAAAUCCCCCAGCUUAACUGGCGAACUGCCCUUGAUACCACUGCGCCCUCGAGGAAGGAAGGGGCAAUCGUGAACUGUCGGUGGAGCGACGAAAUGCGUUGAUAUCGACAGGAACGCCGGUGGCGAAAGCGGAUUGCUGCUCCUUUUCUGACGCUGACGCGCGAAAGCCAGGAGAGCACACGUUAUUACAUACCCCGGUAGACCUGGCCUUAAACGAUGAGAACUAGUUAGUGGGUCCGACCUGAGCACACUGUGCGAAGCGAAAGUCUUAAGUUCUCCACCUGGGGAGUACGGUCGCAAGGUUGAAACUCAAAGGAAUUGUCGGGGGCUCACGCAAGCGCUGGAGCAUGUGGGUUAAUUCGAGGCUCCGCGAAGAACUUUACCCAGUCCUGACAUGUGCGAAAGCGCCAAGAGUUCCCUGCGGAAACGUAGGGGAACCUCGCAAGAGGGGACUUGGUACAGGUGCUGCAUGGCUGUCGUCACCUCGUGUCGUGAGAUGUCGGGUUAAGUCCUAUUACGAGCGAACCCCUUGUCCUUAGUUGUCUCGCAAGAGCACUCUAGGGGGACUGCCGGUGUCAAAUCGGAGGAAGGCGGGGAUGACGUCAAGUCCUCAUGGGCCUUUCGCCUGGGGCUGCCCACGUGCUACAAUGCGGCAGACAAAGGGUCGCCAACUGGCAACAGUGCUAUACUCUCAAAAAAUCUCGUUCAGUUCAGAUUGUGGGGUGCAACUCUCCCUCAUGAAUCUGGAAUCGCUAGUAAUCGCGGGUCAGCGACUCCGCGGUGAAUGUGCUCCUGAGCCU
rnacentral:rRNA from 1 species